rnacentral:rRNA from 1 species
UGGGGAAUAUUGCACAAUGGGCGCAAGCCUGAUGCAGCCAUGCCGCGUGUGUGAAGAAGGCCUUCGGGUUGUAAAGCACUUUCAGCGAGGAGGAAGGUGGUGAGCUUAAUACGCUCAUCAAUUGACGUUACUCGCAGAAGAAGCACCGGCUAACUCCGUGCCAGCAGCCGCGGUAAUACGGAGGGUGCAAGCGUUAAUCGGAAUUACUGGGCGUAAAGCGCACGCAGGCGGUUUGUUAAGUCAGAUGUGAAAUCCCCGGGCUCAACCUGGGAACUGCAUUUGAAACUGGCAAGCUAGAGUCUCGUAGAGGGGGGUAGAAUUCCAGGUGUAGCGGUGAAAUGCGUAGAGAUCUGGAGGAAUACCGGUGGCGAAGGCGGCCCCCUGGACGAAGACUGACGCUCAGGUGCGAAAGCGUGGGGAGCAAAACAGGAUUAGAUACCCUGGUAGUCCACGCUGUAAAACGAUGUCGAUUUUGGAGGUUGUGCCCUUGAGGCGUGGCUUCCGGAGCUAACGCGUUAAAUCGACCGCCUGGGGAGUACGGCCGCAAGGUUAAAACUUAAAGGAAUUG